CUUCGGACCUCACGCCAUCGGAUGUGCCCAGAUGGGAUUAGCUAGUAGGUGAGGUAAUGGCUCACCUAGGCGACGAUCCCUAGCUGGUCUGAGAGGAUGACCAGCCACACUGGAACUGAGACACGGUCCAGACUCCUACGGGAGGCAGCAGUGGGGAAUAUUGCACAAUGGGCGCAAGCCUGAUGCAGCCAUGCCGCGUGUGUGAAGAAGGCCUUAGGGUUGUAAAGCACUUUCANCNAGGAGGAAGGCAUCANACUUAAUACGUGUGUUGAUUGACGUUACUCGCAGAAUAAGCACCGGCUAACUCCGUGCCAGCAGCCGCGGUAAUACGGAGGGUGCAAGCGUUAAUCGGAAUUACUGGGCGUAAAGCGCACGCAGGCGGUUUGUUAAGUCAGAUGUGAAAU
rnacentral:rRNA from 1 species